rnacentral:tRNA from 1 species
GUGAGGAUAGCUCAGUGGUAGAGUGCUUGCCUACUAUGCAGUAGUUCCGGGGUUCAAUUCCUAGCACA